UUGCAGAUCUCAAGCUAGAGGUGCAGAAUGUUUUUGAUCACAUGCCAAACGAUGGUCCCGACAAGAUUUCAUGGGUACAUGUAUGGGGACACUUCUGCUUGUCUUAUGGUGAUCAAAAGUUGAUCCAAGACACCGACCUUAUCGUAAACUAUGACAUCGAGGAUGCUGAUCAGCUUCAUUUCAUUAGACAUGUCUCCACCUGCACCAACUCGACAAAGAUUCCGAAAGCUAAAGAUACUGUUGCCCAAAACCAUUCAUGUCAG